rnacentral:rRNA from 1 species
AUUGAACGCUGGCGGCAGGCUUAACACAUGCAAGUCGAACGAAUGGCGGACGGGAGAGUAAUGCUGGGAAAUCUAGCUUAUGGAGGGGGAUAACUACGGGAAACUGUAGCUAAUACCGCGUAACAUAGGAUGAGCCCAAGUGGGAUUAGGUAGGUGGUGAGGUAAAGGCUAACCAAGCCUACGAUCUCUAGCUGGUCUGAGAGGAUGACCAGCCCUACUGGGACUGAGACACGGCCCAGACUCCUACGGUAGGCAGCAGUGGGGAAUAUUGCGCAAUGGGGGCAACCUGACUCAGCCAUGCCGCGUGAAUGAAGAAGGCCUUCGGGUUGUAAAGUUCUUUCGGUAGCGAGGCGUUAACUACAGAAUAAGCACCGGCUAACUCCGUGCCAGCAGCCGCGGUAAUUC